rnacentral:snRNA from 1 species
GGAUAUGAGGGUGAUCUGGCUGUGACAUCUGUCACCCCUGUGAUGUCCUGGGUUGUUUCAGCUAAUCUGGCCUCCUAGGGGGGUGUCCUCCUUCCUCCCUCACCACUCAGUGUGCAUCUUCCCCAAGCCUGCGCACUUGGUCAAAUAGGACGACGUUCCCUGAAUCGGUCGAGAGUAUAUGAGUAGCUGCACUUUCUUCUUCAAACCUCCAAGCAAGCUCUCAAAAAUUUGCCUAGGGUCAGAGUAAUAGCUCACUUGGAUAGU